CAUAUUUUCAACAAGUCACACUCUCUCUUCAAAACUCCUUCGACGCUUCUCUCUCUCUCAUCCUCCUCCAUCGUGUUUCUCUGAAAUUCCUGUCAAAUAAUAAUAAUAAUAUGGAUGGGUAUGGCAUCCGCAUCGGUCGGCAGCAGACAGAAGCAUUGUGAGCUUCAAUGGAAGUUUGUCGUUAAAGGUCUAGGUUGUAAUAUGGCUUGUUAAGAUAUGUGGAUUUCAGAUCUGGUUCGACUUGGAUCCUAACCCAAACCCAAACCUCUGUGUCAUAAAUAGCUCGCAUUAAUACUGAUUUUCUUUAUUUUUGUUAUCCAAUUUACAAAUUUGAUUGUUACUUGGACCUUUUUUCUUUUGUUUAAUAGUUGUUACUUUUGUUUUCUACAAGUUUCAGCUUUAAAGCGGCUGCGAAGAAAGUGGUGGAACUUAUUUCUAAAGCACUUGCUUACACACUGAGUGAUGAAGCUGAAGCUCUCGGUUUCUAUGAAGCAUUUCAUACUUUUCUUGCCUUCCUCGUCAUGCUUCUGGUUGCCUUAAUUGGUUUACACCUUCAACCCUUGCGCAUCUCUCCACUUGAAAAACAUUUUGCUAUCAUCUUGAUUUUCAUUGUGGCUAUAAUCAUCUAUGGCAUUGCAUAUGUGUUGACAAAACUAAAACCUCAAGAUGCCGAGUACCUUUCCAAAUUCAGGUUCAUCCGUCUAGUUUUUGGAAUCAUUGCUGUUGGGCUACUUGCCUCCAUAAUCAUUUCUCCCUUUUGGCUAUCCGUGGUUAUUUCAUGUUCAAUCCUGAUCGUAGGGGUACUGUGUUUGUACAAACAAAUUUAUCAAUUAGUUCAUCCGAUAUGACUGGCAGAUAUUCCAAUCAGAAGCAUUUCAAGCAUUCUCUUCAAGGGAACGAGAAGACAGAUAAUUUGGGUGUAGAAAUUGUUUAAGUGGCCUUUUUUUUUUAAAUCAAGAAUCUUUAUUGAAACAGAUGGAGAACCAGCAACAAUACAAAAUUAGGUGGCCUGUUGUAGUACUAGAUUUAAGCAAGCAAAAUUUUCACUUAUGUAAUUUUCUGUUUGUGGAAGUUUGAAUCUGUUUACACUUUAUUCAAAGUAAGGUUAAUUAUACUAUAUUCAGCGUA